rnacentral:rRNA from 1 species
AGAGUUUGAUCAUGGCUCAGAACGAACGCUGGCGGCAGGCUUAACACAUGCAAGUCGAACGCACCCUUCGGGGUGAGUGGCAGACGGGUGAGUAACGCGUGGGAACGUACCCUUCGGUUCGGAAUAACCCAGGGAAACCUGGGCUAAUACCGGAUGCGCCCCCGGGCUUGUCCUGGGGGGAAAGGUUGACUGCCGAAGGAUCGGCCCGCGUCGGAUUAGCUAGACGGUGGGGUAACGGCCCACCGUGGCGACGAUCCGUAGCUGGUCUGAGAGGAUGAUCAGCCACACUGGGACUGAGACACGGCCCAGACUCCUACGGGAGGCAGCAGUGGGGAAUAUUGGUCAAUGGGCGCAAGCCUGAACCAGCCAUGCCGCGUGAGUGAAGAAGGCCUUAGGGUUGUAAAGCUCUUUCAGCGGGGACGAUAAUGACGGUACCCGCAGAAGAAGCCCCGGCUAACUUCGUGCCAGCAGCGGCGGUAAUAC